AGUCGCAGAUCUACAAAUUGCGCC
rnacentral:siRNA from 1 species